rnacentral:lncRNA from 1 species
CUUUCAGAACCGAGCGCCUCGUCGAAUUUCCACGAUAAUUCCUGAACCUCUGACACCCCCACCCCCCCACCCCAAAGAAAAAAAACUCUCCCUUUCUGCCUCGGCUUAAAUUUAACACCCAAAACUUAAAUGCGGGGGGAAAUGGACGCAUUUUAAGCGGAACAACAUGACCCCCCGCAUCCAUCCCGAUUACGGCAACUUGCCUCCUUUGAAUCUGAAGGCUCUGGGAGUCCCCAAGACGCGCGAAAGAGCGCGAAACACUGUCCACGCAUACAUUGUAGUCCCCACUGCACCUGGACGUGCCACUUAUGACACGGUGUCGGAAAAGCCAGGCACCCACGGCGAGGUGCGCUCUACACGUCUCAAGUGAGCGCUGGAUGGGCGAGGGUGGCUUGUUUUAUCAGCUGGAUCCCGAGUGUCUCACCCACGGAGCGCUCUUCUCCUUCCCGCUUCCAAACCGGCAGCGCAAAAUAUUUAUCGUGAGACAGAGAAGCGCGAGGAGCUACAGUGCGUGACCCCCCUGUCUUCGCCCUGACGCAGGAGGAUUAGUCUGUCCCUCUUUCUGCUCCUCUCUCUCGUGGUCCCUGAAAAAAAAAAGAAAAAAGAAAAGAAAAAAAAAAACACGUCUUGAUUUAAGACAGAAAUGUGUCGUUGCACGAGAAAACUGAGGGACAAGUGAAACACUUGACAAGGACCAGGGAGAGCGACACGGUUGGCGCCUCUGCCACGAGCGACGGACGGACUGACGGACGGAGGGACGGACACUUCAGUCUUCAGUGUGAGGAGUUGAUGAAAGAAGAGGAAGCGGUCGGUCGAGCUGGGGCAUACCCCUCAUCACAGAAAGAAGGAGGCCCUUUACACCCCCCAGCAACACCACCUCUCUCCCAUAUCUCAGAUUUGAUUUUCUGCACCAAAAACUGACCAAGAAGUCCAGCAAACUCACGUUUACAAUAAAACAAUUCAUCAGCGAACACAGCUCCCAGUCCCAUAAAGAUGGCACCUGGCCUUCAGACCACUGCUUCUGCAGACUACGGUUCCACAAGGACCCACAAGCGUUUGAAAUGCUGAGAUUUCUACAUUAUUUGCAUUCAAACAGGCGACAGGGUGUAAGUCCAUUCACUGUAUGGCUGUGUUCCAGCAACCACAUCAUAAAUACACCUCUUAUAGAGUAUUUCUAUUUCAUACCACCACGUUUCACAAGCAAAAAGGUAAUAGCGAUUUUAUAUGAGUAUAAAUAGAU